AGUGCUUCGCGAGUCGGAGGGCGCUGAGAAGGGGUUUCGUGGGUCCGCCCGCAAGGGGCGGGGCGGUGCAGCGGGCCGGAGAGAGCAGGCCGUGGGCUAGCGCCCGGGCCCGGUCUUGCUGCGGCUGAAGGAGGCCGGCGCCCUGCGCUCCUCUCCUUCGUUGCUUCUCUGGCGGGGAAGCCAGCGCAUGCUGGGGUGCUGCGCUGGGGGCCUGUUUGUGCAGCCAAGGGACAUGUGGCAAUGGGUUGAAGUGUUGCCAAGCGUUGCCGCAGUGGGGCAAGGGGCAAGGUCUGAUAUGAUCGCCCUCUACCCGGUGCUCCAGGCCUGCUGCUUGAGCUCAACUCUGGAGGCAUUUAGAUUUAAAACUAGAGGGCCGGGUUAUCCUGAGACAAUGACUUUUAGCCUGGGAUCCGACAGAUCUACAAGCUCCUCAUCCCGAUUUUAAGUGCCUGAGGCAAAUCUCGAAUUGAUGCAAGUCAAAACCCAGGGCAGUCAGCCCCAAAUUAAACCAGUCGUCUGUUUUUUAGCCCUAGAGAAGUACCUGAACACCCACAUCGAAAGAAACUGCCAUAAAGACCAUUACAAAACAAUAACUUCACGUGUCACUUAGAAAUAUCCGUCUGAGUCCAGAGCGAAGGAACAGUCCGUCACCCCAGCUGGUAAGGGGCAGUGCUGCAGAGGCAGGAGCAGGUUAAGCGAACUUACCUGCAAGGAAGUUUUGGAAUGUGAUGGAAUCUGGGAACUUCUGGGGUUGGACUAUUUGUGGUAGCUUCUUCUUGCCUGAAAAUUAAAAAAAAAAAUCUCAUCUGAAUUUGGAGAAGAUGACGGUCAGUUUAGGAUAAGUAUGUCUUGCAUUCCUGGUAUCCCUUUCUGAUCCAAAAUUCAGCGUUUAGAAUCACAACCCAUGAACUUGCUACAUUAUUUUUUUGCUUUACAAUUAAACAAAGUUAUUCUGGCAUACAGGAAACUCUUACUGCUCUUAACGAAGUGUGGAUCCAUAAGUAUAUGUAUAAAUAUAUUAAUCUUUUCUAUUUA